rnacentral:rRNA from 1 species
UACGUAGGGCGCAAGCGUUGUCCGGAAUCAUUGGGCGUAAAGAGCUCGUAGGCGGCCUGUCGCGUCCGCUGUGAAAUCCCGGGGCUUAACCCCGGGCGUGCAGUGGAUACGGGCUGGCUGGAGGCAGGCAGGGGAGCACGGAAUUCCCGGUGUAGCGGUGAAAUGCGCAGAUAUCGGGAGGAACACCGGUGGCGAAGGCGGUUCUCUGGGCAGUAACUGACGCUGAGGAGCGAAAGCGUGGGGAGCGAACAGG